rnacentral:rRNA from 1 species
AUUGAACGCUGGCGGCAGGCCUAACACAUGCAAGUCGAGCGCGCGGCGGACGGGUGAGCAAAGUCUGGGAAACUGCCUGAUGGCGGGGGAUAACUACAGGAAACGGUAGCUAAUACCCCAUACCAUCAGAUGUGCCCAGAUGGGAGUAGCUCGUAGGUGGGGUAACGGCUCACCUAGGCGACGAUCCCUAGCUGGUCUGAGAGGAUGACCAGCCACACUGGAACUGAGACACGGUCCAGACUCCUACGGGGGGCAGCAGUGGGGCAUAUUGCACAAUGGGCGCAAGCCGGAUGCAGCCCUGCCGCGUGUGUGAAGAAGGCCUUCGGGUUGUAAAGCACUUGCAGCGGGGAGGCGUUACCCGCAGAAGAAGCACCGGCUAACUCCGUGCCAGCCGCCGCGGUAAUAC